CACGGCCACCGGAACCGUUGUACUGUUUUCCUAUCGCCCGCGUCGCUCGCUCUUGGCGCGUGUUUGAUUCGAAUUUAUGCGAGUUACAGGCGUUAGUAGAUCACAUUUAGUCUUUCCGUGAACCUGGCAGGUGCGGGACCUCUGCCCUCCAAAGCCAACCGGAGACUGACAACUGUCACGUUUCUUGCAAGCGUUUACCAUGAAUCGCACCGGUGUCGCCUCGGCGUUUAAUUGCCCUGUCUGCCUAGGGCCGAGCCAGAGCCUGGUAUUCGGCCUGUGCCAGCACUUCGUGUGCGCGUCCUGUCUGUACGAACCAGUCGACAAAAGUUUGAGGCCUGUGUUUUUUUUCUGUCCAAUCUGCAAAGAUGCGUUGGCAUUCCCAUUAUCCUGCCCCCGCUUUCUGGACACCACUAAAGAGAUGAUGAAGAUUGUUGGCGUCGUAAAGUGCCCCCGGAAACGGUGCGGCGAAGAAAUGUGGGCUUCGGACAAGAAAGAACACGAGAAGUCUUGCAUCGCGAAACGGUUGUCCGCGCGGGGCGGUGGCUCCCCAGCAAGUGCUAGCACUAGCCAGAGGCCCACCACCCGCCAGAGCAAGUAGACGAGGAGCAAGUGCUCUCUCAGGGUCAAGAACUGAACGUAGCAUCGGGCCUGCCUUACUUGAAAAUUUCUUUUUAGGUUCCUCUGCUGAAGUGUACCUGGAGAGGGAGCAAGAAGAGAAGGAGGUCUUCUUUGCAUUUAUAAAAUAAUUAAUCAGCCAGUAUUUUUUAUUUUAUAUGCGUAUGUACAAACAAUUUUUUAUUGUGGCAAUUAGCGUUUAUGCUAGACUGUCUUCUAUGUUUAGUUUCAUUUCGAGGCUAGUCUCUUUUGUGCUAGUCAAGUGCAUUACCAUUUUAAUGCACAAUGUGUGAAAUCUUGUUUGCGUUCUAAACGAUUGUGAUGUGUGAAAAAAAAAGUGUUAAACUGUGUGUUUUAUGCGUACAAAGUCGUACAACUGAUAUUGAUUGUAUCGCUAAGUUUUUGUAGGAAAAAAAAGGUAUGCUUCUGGCAUUUUACU